rnacentral:lncRNA from 1 species
CUAAAAGCCAUAUGCUGUAAGUUAAGGUAGCACAUCUCAUUGUUUUUUAGUUGUUUUACACUUAGGUAAUGAAAACACAAAACUGCCUGCUAUUUCUGUUGAGGCUUAGUUUGAUGCAAGUUCUUUUUGCAUAAAUAAUGUACAUUUUCAUUUUAAAUAGGAAGUUUAACCUAAGAGAGCACAUUCCAAAACCAAAUCAAGAAGAGUAUACAAUGAGGUGGAAUACAGGGCUUUUGGGUACCUAAUUUCAUGAAACUGAAUUAAUCCUCCGUAUUAGGCACUGCAGAAUUAAUAGAAUAAAUUAUAGUGAUGCCUGGCAACUCAUAUUUCAAAGAGAAAAAUAUUUGUAAAGUCUAGUUGUAACAUUACUACUGACUAGCUUCUAUCCCUGGUAUUACAUGGAUGGCUAUCUAAGUGGGUUUUUUAGCUGCGUAUAAGCAGGAAUACUUUAUAUGUUGCUUUAUUUCUUUUAUAUGGUGUGUAAUUAUCCCUUUAGAAGUACAUGUUGAACCUUCCUGUAUAUAGCCCAUGCAAGAAAUGUUUUCAGUGCAGCU